rnacentral:rRNA from 1 species
GGCGGCGUGCUACACAUGCAAGUCGAGCGGUAAGGCCCUUCGGGGUACACGAGCGGCGAACGGGUGAGUAACACGUGAGCAACCUGCCCCUGACUCUGGGAUAAGCGGUGGAAACGCCGUCUAAUACCGGAUACGACCCGCCACCUCAUGGUGGAGGGUGGAAAGUUUUUCGGUCAGGGAUGGGCUCGCGGCCUAUCAGCUUGUUGGUGGGGUAACGGCCUACCAAGGCGAUUACGGGUAGCCGGCCUGAGAGGGCGACCGGCCACACUGGGACUGAGACACGGCCCAGACUCCUGCGGGAGGCAGCAGUGGGGAAUAUUGCGCAAUGGGCGAAAGCCUGACGCAGCGACGCCGCGUGGGGGAUGACGGCCUUCGGGUUGUAAACCUCUUUUACCACCAACGCAGGCUCCCAGUUCUCUGGGGGUUGACGGUAGGUGGGGAAUAAGGACCGGCUAACUACGUGCCAGCAGCCGCGGUAAUACGUAGGGUCCGAGCGUUGUCCGGAAUUAUUGGGCGUAAAGAGCUCGUAGGCGGCGUGUCACGUCUGCUGUGAAAGACCGGGGCUUAACUCCGGUUCUGCAGUGGAUACGGGCAUGCUAGAGGUAGGUAGGGGAGACUGGAAUUCCUGGUGUAGCGGUGAAAUGCGCAGAUAUCAGGAGGAACACCGGUGGCGAAGGCGGGUCUCUGGGCCUUACCUGACGCUGAGGAGCGAAAGCAUGGGGAGCGAACAGGAUUAGAUACCCUGGUAGUCCAUGCCGUAAACGUUGGGCGCUAGGUGUGGGGACUUUCCACGGUUUCCG